rnacentral:rRNA from 1 species
GGUGAACGCUGGCGGCGUGCCUAACACAUGCAAGUCGAUCGGAGCAGCAAUGCUUAGAGGCGAACGGGUGAGGAAAACGUAGUAACCAACCCUUUAGACUGGGAUAGCCACUGGAAACGGUGGGUAAUACCGGAUAAGCUCGAGAGAGGAAAGGCAGAGAAGCGCUAAAGGACGGAACUGCGCCCCAUCAGAUAGUUGGUGAGGUAAAGGCUUACCAAGUCAAAGACGGGAAACCGACGUGAGAGCGUGUACGGUCACAAGGGCACUGAGAGACGGGCCCUACUCCUACGGGAGGCAGCAGUGGGGAAUAUUGGACAAAUGGAUGGAAAUCUGAUCCAGCCAUGCCGCGUGCAGGAAGACGGCCCUAUGGGUUGUAAACUGCUUUUAUAUGGGAGCAAUAAGGUUUACGCGUAGACCGAUGAGAGUACCAUAUGAAUAAGCAUCGGCUAACUCCGUG